GACGAACGCUGGCGGCGUGCUUAACACAUGCAAGUCGAACGGAAAGGCCCUGCUUUUGUGGGGUGCUCGAGUGGCGAACGGGUGAGUAACACGUGAGUAACCUGCCCUUGACUUUGGGAUAACUUCAGGAAAUUGGGGCUAAUACCGGAUAGGAGCUCCUGCUGCAUGGUGGGGGUUGGAAAGUUUCGGCGGUUGGGGAUGGACUCGCGGCUUAUCAGCUUGUUGGUGGGGUAGUGGCUUACCAAGGCUUUGACGAGUAGCCGGCCUGAGAGGGUGACCGGCCACAUUGGGACUGAGAUACGGCCCAGACUCCUACGGGAGGCAGCAGUGGGGAAUAUUGCACAAUGGGCGGAAGCCUGAUGCAGCAACGCCGCGUGCGGGAUGACGGCCUUCGGGUUGUAAACCGCUUUCGCCUGUGACGAAGCGUGAGUGACGGUAAUGGGUAAAGAAGCACCGGCUAACUACGUG
rnacentral:rRNA from 1 species